rnacentral:rRNA from 1 species
UACGGAGGGAGCUAGCGUUGCUCGGAAUCACUGGGCGUAAAGCGCACGUAGGCGGCUUUCUAAGUCAGGGGUGAAAUCCUGGAGCUCAACUCCAGAACUGCCUUUGAUACUGGAGAGCUUGAGUCCGGAAGAGGUGAGUGGAACUCCGAGUGUAGCGGUGAAAUGCGCAGAUAUCAGGAAGAAUAUCCGUGGCGAAGGCGGCUCUCUGGUACGGCACUGACGCUGAGACGCGAAAGCGUGGGGAGCAAACAGG